rnacentral:rRNA from 1 species
AACGAACGCUGGUGGCAUGCCUAAUACAUGCAAGUCGAACGAGAAAGUGGCUUCGGUCAUGAGUAUAGUGGCGCACGGGUGAGUAACACGUAGGUGACCUACCCUUUAGUGGGGAAUAACAGGGAGAAAUUCCUGCCAAUACCGCAUAAGCUAAACAUAUUUGAAUAGUGUUUAGGAAAGGGGGGCUUCGGCUCUCGCUGAAGGAAGGGCCUGCGCAACAUUAGCUUGUUGGUGGGGUAAUGGCCUACCAAGGCUACGAUGUUUAGCUGGUCUGAGAGGAUGAUCAGUCACACUGGAACUGAGACACGGUCCAG